CAUAUUCGAAUUUGACAAGAAGUUUUUCUCGGUCUGUACGGUGUAUAAGGAAUAUCAAAAUGGUGAUUUCUUGUUCCGAUUUCAACUGUACAAAGCGAUGGAAUAAGGAAAGUGACUUACCAUUUCACAGGUUUCCUCUAAAGCACCCAGAGCUGCUAAAGAAGUGGAUUACUUCCGUGAAGCGGAAAGGUUUUAAUCCUACGUCUUGCAGUUUUCUUUGCAGAAUCCAUUUCCGACAAGAUGAUUAUGUACUGAGCCCUGGAACGUGGAAGAAACGUCUCAAACCCGAAGCAGUACCAUCAGUUUUUGACUUUCCGGCAUAUUUGAUGCAACCAAAUAAACAGCCACGACGACAUGUUGUUAGGAUUUUGGGUGACAACGAUGCUUCUCCAUUUGAGGUAGCUAAUUAAUUUCCUUGCUAUGUGUCUGCUUUUUACUUUUGUGAAUUUAUUUCGUACGGACACAAAUGGGCUACAUAGGUCUAAGCAAUGUUGUAAUCCAGGUCCAUAUUUUUGUUUUUAGCGUUCUGUCAUGGAAUCCGUGCUCGAUUUGCCCCCUGCAGGAGCUACUGAUUUCGUGGAGAAUGUUCUCAAUGAGAAUUCUUCCUUGGAAAGCAUGUCCCAUUUAUCCAAUGCAGAAGCUACGAAUUGUGUCGAAAACGUUAUUAUGAUGUUUUCACACCCCCAAAGCUUUCUUAUAUUAUGUUUUCAUCAAGCCUUGAGUUAUUUCAUUCAUAUAUAACGAAAUUAUUUCUUUAUUUCAGAGUGCAGUUGGUUCUUCAGUAAUUGAUUGUGGUAUACAGUCGAAAGUAGAAAUGGAAGACAAGGUGACCGAAACUUGCAAUUUUUUCUCAGACAUUGUGCACGAAUUAAAACGUAAACUGAAGUGCGUCCGUGAAAAACUUCGAAGAAGAGAGAAGAAAGUGUUUUCCAUGGAUGACAUCAUAAGUUCAUUGAAGGAGAAGGGCCAUCAUCCUGAGAAGUUACAUAACUUCCUCCAUCAUCAGAAAGGAACACAAGUGGAAUCAGUGUGCAAUUUAGUGAACAAUUCUCUCUCGUCAAAGGGUAAUAGAUACACAACUAACGUGAAAAAUGUUUGCGAUGGAUGUGUACUUUUAUUACCAGCAGCAUAUGAAUACCUGCAAAAAUUAAUGCCUCUUCCCCAUAAAUCAUUGAUUUCCAAAUGGGUGGCAAGUGUUUUUAAGUCCAUUGAUUUGAACCCAAUUGUAAGGGACCAGUUCUGUGAUUCAUGUCUAAUUGUAGACAGUAUGGCAAUUAGGAAGCAAGUAGUUUGGGACCAAGGAACUAAGCUAUACACAGAUUUUUUAGACUUUGGUGGGGAAGUGCCUCAGUCAAAAGAAGUAAUAGAGGCAUCUGAGGCUCUGGUUUUCAUGCUUGUCUCUAUUAAUGGCAAAUUUAAAUGCCCGAUUGCAUAUUUCUUUAUCAAUGGUGCACAGCAAAUAAUCAGGCCACACUGAUAAAAUCUGCUUUAGAGAGGCUGCAUCGUUCUGGCAUUAGUGUUUGGUGUUACAUGUGAUGGCUGCAAGGUAAAUGUAAGCACUUUACAUUCACAUGGCUGUACUUUAAACUUUUACAACGGUGAUUUUAAAAGCCGCAUUCCUCAUCCUGUGGAAAAAUACAAUGUUUAUUGUAUCUUGGACAUGUCAUAUGAUUAAGUUAGCCAGAAAUGCUCUAGCAGAAGUAUCUGCUAUUGAGUCUCCAACUGCCAUUAUUAGAUGGCAUUUCAUUGAGCAAUUGAACAAGGUACAACAAGAAGGUAUGACAUUUGCCAACAAACUAUCAGGACAACAUGUAAGUUAUGUAAAUAGAAAAAUGAAUGUUUCAUUAGCUGCACAGACUAUGAGUUCUAGCGUGGCAGAUAGUAUAGAGUUUUUGAGGAGGGUUGGUGAUCGAAAUCUUAAAGGAAGUGAAGCAACAGUAGAAUUUUUUUAUUAUAUUGACAGGAUUUUUGAUAUUCUGAACUCCAGAAAUCCAUUAGGUAAAGGGUAUAAGAGUCCCCUGAGACUUGACAACAAAUCUUAUUGGUUUGGUAUUUUCAGAGACACUGAAAAUUAUAUCAAAAGCUUAAAAAUCAUUGGUGUUCCAUUGCUGCUCCAUGCAAGAAAUACUUUUGCUUUUGGGAUAAUUUUCAAUAUGCAAUCAGUCAGGCACAUAGCUCUGGCAAGUAUGCUUCGUGUUGAGUCUCCUCUGAAGUAUUUGCUAACAUAUAAACUGUCACAAGACCACAAAGGGCUUUUUCUUCCUGCAUUCUGUCCAGAGGUGAUUGAAACAACAAUCCAAAUGCAUACCAGUUCAAAUGUGCCAUGAGAAAGUUGGUCUUAGGUAACAGUGUCACUGCACUGAAUGGGAAUUGCUCAAAUUUUAAUGUGUGUUGUUUGCCACCUGUUUAUGAUUUUCAUGCAAGAAAGCAUGUAGUAGAAAGUGAUGAAAGUGCUGCAGAAAAUGAAGUAGAGAAGUGGUGUGCACUUCUUGAUGAUAACAUUAAGUUCUCAUUUUACAAGCAAAAAAUAUUCUAUUAUAUUGCAGGGUAUGUGUCAUUGCACCUGUCAAGGCAGAUCACAUACAAAGACUGUCUUCACAUACAGAAGCCACCAGUAGUUAAAUCUGCCUUAGAAUGUGAUGCUCUCUAUGCUUUUGCCAAUAUGGCCAAUAAAAAUGCAUUUGUAGAAUUUUGUUAACUGGGGAAAACUGGUUGAAACAAGUGACUGCGUGUACCCUGUUGUAGAAUAUUCAGAGAAACUGUUUCAGAUGUUUGUGAUUGCUGGGGAUAUGCGACAGAAGUAUAUUCAGGCCAAGAUUUUGCAUUGUGUUAAAAAUAAAAUUGUAGAUUAGCUAUCUGCUGCUCUUGGUCAUGAUUACCAUUAUAAAAUUGGGAUUGAGGAUUACAUCAGACUCAACUUGUUUGUAAGAUUGCAUCCCUGUACUCCAGCAUAUGCUUAAAAACAUAUGGAAAAAAAUGUCUUGGUGAGAAAAUUUUAAACAACAAAUCAAGUAUAAGGCAGAAGUUAAAUAAACUCAUAUCGUUUAAUCAUGUAUAGUGCUCAAAUUGGAAAAGAUUAUGUAAUGGGACAUUCCAUGCAGAUGGGUGUGACAUUUUUACAGAUUUCUUAAAACUAUGUUGUACAUAGAUUUGUGGUUGUGCAAUGAUGAACUUGAAAGGAUGAAUCACAUUGAAGUAAAAUUAACUCUUUACAUCUUGUGUAGAUAUUGUAACAAAAUUAGAAUUGUUUAUUAUAUAAGCUUAUUUUAAGAUGUUUGGUGUUACAAAUUAUGCACUUGCUUUAAAAACAGGUGAUUUGUGUGAAAUUAAUGAAAAAAUUAUGUACUGGGACUUAUUUGACAAAUGGCUUUCAGUGUGAGAAAAUAUUUACCUCAAUAACUACGUUAACUUGAAUUUAUCACUUUAAGAAAACAGUUUAUUCAUAGGAUGGGUGUGAUCUAAUGGAGUAUGCAGUGGUCCUAUGUUUCAAAAAGUAAUGUUUGUGGAUACUCUGCAACAUAAGAGCAAUAAAAUUGUUACUCUGUUAA